GAUCAACGUUGGCGGCGCGCUUAACACAUGCAAGUCGAACGAGAAAGUGGAGCAAUCCAUGAGUAAAGUGGCGUACGGGUGAGUAACACGUGGGUAUCCAUUCUUUGGUGGGAAGUAACUCUGGGAACCGGAGCUAAUACCGCAUAAGUCCGAGAGGAGAAAGGUAGAAAAUACGCCGAAGAGGGAGCCCGCGGCUGAUUAGCUAGUUGGUGAGGUAACGGCCCACCAAGGCGAAGAUCGGUAGCCGGCCUGAGAGGGCGACACGGCCACACUGGCACUGAGACACGGGCCAGACUCCUACGGGA
rnacentral:rRNA from 1 species